AGAACAAAGGAUACAGAUAUAAAACAAGGUAUCCAUAAUUGGACUGGGUAAAGUUAAGAUACAUAGAUAGUGAAGAAUUGCCCAAAUUUAAAUAUUUGUGGCUUCUACCAAUCUCACUGUUCUCACCACAGCAGACAGACGGCCAGAUGUGGUCACCCAAGGAGUUCCCAACAAGGGAUUUGAACCGGGGAACUUUGCAGUCCUGGUCCUGCUUCCUACCUCUGAG